rnacentral:lncRNA from 1 species
CUCAGGUACAGCUUCUCUCUUCUCUCUUUUCAUACUGUGAUGACCUUACAUUUUUAAUGAAACUAUGAACAAGNNNNNNNNNNNNNNNNNNNNNNNNNNNNNNNNNNNNNNNNNNNNNNNNNNNNNNNNNNNNNNNNNNNNNNNNNNNNNNNNNNNNNGCAAAGUCAGGCUCAGGUCAGCUUCUCUUUUCUCAUGAUGUCCUUUACAUCAAAUGAACAGCUUCAUCUUCUCUGAGCUCUGUGAACUCAUCGCGAAUACGCACGUGAACUUGCUCAGCUACAUCAGGAAAAUAAGACCUUUGGGUGGAGUGACAAAAAUGGUGAGGUCACAGAGAGCUUUGGUCAUCAAAUCCAUGUAGUCAAUCAAACGCUGGACUUGGAAAGGCUUAUGGGAAUGAUGCGCUGAUAAAAAUGGGGAAGGAGGGAGUGGGAGUGCAAGUGGGGAGGAAAGAAUUGAUUUAUGAUGAAGCCAAGGCAGCUGAUCUGAAAGAGAUAAUUAUUCUUCUAUAACUGGCCAGGGAAUGGGAGAGCCAUUAUGUGGAUGAAUGGAGACAGCAGAAGCAAUUUGUCAGCCUGACUUGUUUGAGAAAGGUGACAAGCUCAGGUGCGUCUGGAUUACCUGGACAUACCUGAUGCAACUUCUCCAAGACUUCAGAGUUUCUCUGCUACCUUUCCUGCAGGAGUUUGGGAAGAUACAACAGGAAAACUGAUGCAAGGCUCUGUCACCUUCUGUCCUUCAGGCAGAGGAGUGGCGAAGUGGUUUGUGUGACUUGCUUGGUCCCCAGGCUGCUGUUUAGAUAAGUCACGUUUCUUGUAUCUCUUGCUUGGAUGAGCUUAUAAGGGCAAAUACUUGCAACUUCAAAUGUGUCCAUUCAUUAUUGAGUAGGAAAGGGCAACAGAGGGCUUCUGUCAGAGGACAGAAAUUAUAAAAGAAGCCAUAAGUGAUGUUGGUAAAAAACAAGCUGUUACCAGAGGAAGAAAGGGGGCAUAAAGAAGGCAAAACCUCUUCAUUUAUUCCUCUGAGACACAAUUAAAACCUCACUGAAGAUUUUUGGGAAGGACCACGUUCUCCCUUCUGUUUCAUGCACCACACUCAAAACGAAUUAUGACUUUGCAACAGAAGGAAGUCUUUCAUCCCAGCUUUAGCUACUUGAUUCAAAGCUUGAGAAUAAUGAACCCGCAGGACCCCAUUCUGCUUUUGCACCAGCACAAGCCAGAAAUAUCUCGACUGCUGUCGGAAGGGUGACUGUGGUGCAAAGCCUGGUGCGAGGUGAAGGAGAGAUCAUGACAGCAGAAUAGGGCAGAUCCGUGCAAAUUCAGCCAUGGGUCAGGGUGAGACCAGCCAUCUGGGGAUUAGUUGGUAACGUUCAGAGUUGUUGCUGCAUGCCCAGAGGGAAAGCCCUCUCUUUCAAAGAGCCAAUUCAUUUUUUGUGGCAGUUUGGAGUUGGCUUUUUGUUUUUUUCUUUGCCCCCAAAACUCAGAAUUGUGGUGCAAAGAAGCUGCUAGAGGUUGCAUGUGAUUUAUAAAGAAUUAGCAUCUCCUUCAGGUCAGGAUAUAUAAUAAGAGACUUGGAAAUCAAAAGCCAGCUUUAUAUAGCAGAUUCUUUUCAUUCUUCUCCCUCAAAUGAAGAGAAGAACAUUGGCCCAAGGUUUGUAAAGGCUCAGAUAACCCACAAAAAAUGGGAAGUACCUUUCUUCAGCUGAAAGAGUU